rnacentral:rRNA from 1 species
AGUGAACGCUGGCGGUAGGCCUAACACAUGCAAGUCGAACGGCAGCACAGAGGAGCUUGCUCCUUGGGUGGCGAGUGGCGGACGGGUGAGGAAUACAUCGGAAUCUACUCUGUCGUGGGGGAUAACGUAGGGAAACUUACGCUAAUACCGCAUACGACCUACGGGUGAAAGCAGGGGAUCUUCGGACCUUGCGCGAUUGAAUGAGCCGAUGUCGGAUUAGCUAGUUGGCGGGGUAAAGGCCCACCAAGGCGACGAUCCGUAGCUGGUCUGAGAGGAUGAUCAGCAACACUGGACCUGGGACACGGUCCAGACUCCUACGGGAGGCAGCAGUGGGGAAUAUUGGACAAUGGGCGCAAGCCUGAUCCAGCCAUACCGCGUGGGUGAAGAAGGCCUUCGGGUUGUAAAGCCCUUUUGUUGGGAAAGAAAUCCAUCUGGUUAAUACCCGGGUGGGAUGACGGUACCCAAAGAAUAAGCACCGGCUAACUUCGUGCCAGCCGCCGCGGUAA